rnacentral:ncRNA from 1 species
UGAUAGAGGCGCGAUCGUCAUCAGUAGCUUUGUCAAAACGCAGGGAAGCGUGAAGCGAAAGGGGCUGUCGCCGAAGGACCCGAUCCUCCCGAGGUCGGACACCUGGGAUGCAGGAGAACAUUCUGCAUACUGUCGCUAACGCGGAGAGCUGUC